rnacentral:rRNA from 1 species
AGGCUCGUCAAUCGAAAUGAGUACAAUUUAAAUCCUUUAACGAGUACCAAUUGGAGGGCAAGUCUGGUGCCAGCAGCCGCGGUAAUUCCAGCUCCAAUAGCGAAUAUUAAAUUUGUUGCAGUUAAAAAGCUCGUAGUUGGAUCCAAGGUUAGGCAUGCCUGUCUGUUCUUAGUAGCAUGACUGUGUGUGUCUGCCUUUAUUAGUUGAAUGUUCAUUAUGGUGGUCUUCAUCGACUGCUAUGAUGUGCUCAACACGUUUACCUUGAAAAAAUCAGAGCGAUCAAGGCAGGCCUUCGUGCUUGUAUGUUGUUGCAAGGAAUAAUAGAAUAGGACUUCGGUUCUAUUUUGUUGGUUUUGAGAAUUGAAGUAAUGAACAAUAGAGACAGUCGGGGGCAUUUGUAUGGUGGCGUUAGAGGUGAAAUUCUGAGAUCGUCGCCAGACAAACUACUGCGAAAGCAUUUGCCAAGGAUGUCUUCAUUAAUCAAGAUCGAAAGUCAGAGGUUCGAAGACGAUCAGAUACCGUCCUAGUUCUGACCAUAAACGAUGCCGACCUACAAUCGGGGGUGGUUUAUUAUAUUGACCCUCCCGGCUGUCCUCAGGAAACUUUAAGUUGGUUCUGGGGGGAAUAUGGUCUCAAGACUGAAACUUAAAGGAAUUGACGGAAGGGCACCACCAGGAGUGGAGCCUGCGGCUUAAUUUGACCCAACACGGGGAAUCUCACCCGGUCCGGACACUGGUAGGAUGGACAGAUUGAUAGCUCUUUCUUGAUUCAGUGGGUGGUGGUGCAUGGCCGUUCUUAGUUGGUGGAGUGAUUUGUCUGGUUAAUUCCGAUAACGAACGAGACUCUGUCCUGCUAAAUAGUCCAGUGGCAUCAAUCACUAUGUGAUUACAGCUGCUGUUACUUCUUAGAGGGAUUCGCGGAUUUAAACCGCAAGAAAUAGAGCAAUAACAGGUCUGUAUGCCCUUAGAUGUCCGGGGCCGCACGCGCGCUACAUUGACAGUAGAAGCGAGUAUUUCUACCUGGUUCGAAAGAAUUGGGAAAUCUUCGAAUUACUGUCUCCACAGGGAUUGAGGUUUGCAAUUUUGCCUCAUGAACGAGGAAUUCCCAGUAGGCGCAAGUCAUCAGCUUGCGUCGAUUACGUCCCUGCCCUUUGUACACACCGCCCGUCGCUACUACCGAUUGAGUGCAUUAGUGAGGACCUCGGGUUGAGAACAUAGUGGCGCAAGUUACUUUGUUUUCGAAAAGUGGUUCAAAUUUGUGCAUUUAGAGAUAGUAAAAGUCGU